UAUUCAAAUUCUAACAAUGUCUUAUUCAGAAUGUUAAGUUCAUUUUAACAACUGGACUUUUUGUAGCUGGAUGCUGCAAAAUAUGAUGUACUUAUUGGAGCAGUUUGCAAGGACAGACACUGGACGCUGGUGGCUAUGUACCCCAAGGAGCGUUUGUUGACCCUUUUGGUGCCACCAGUGCCCAGGUGAAGAAAUGCAAUGAAAUGACAAGGUCCGGGUCCGUAUAGGACAGCUUCUGGGUCCGGACCUGGACUGCGCUUAGUGACCUCUGAUGUAGAGCCUUCAUCAGAAGGAGGAACAUAAACAUCUCCAAGUGGUGGCAGUGCAUAUAUUAAGGGGACAGAGGGCAGACUUUCCGGUUGACAUGGAGGCAGUCAACCAAAUGAGAAUGGAAAUGGCCCAAAUGCUGAUUUCCGAGUCAGAUGCAAUGGAGGAUGUUUGCCAUUUCUGUAGGGAGAAAAGCCCAGGAAUGACUGCACAGACCCAUGUUGACUGGAGAAAGAAGAAGAGAGAAUCAGAGAGGGGAUGGAGACAGAGGACGGUGGGCCAGUAAAACAGAAUAUAUUCU